rnacentral:rRNA from 1 species
GAUGAACGCUGGCGGCGUGCCUAAUACAUGCAAGUCGAGCGAAUGGAUUAAGAGCUUGCUCUUAUGAAGUUAGCGGCGGACGGGUGAGUAACACGUGGGUAACCUGCCCAUAAGACUGGGAUAACUCCGGGAAACCGGGGCUAAUACCGGAUAAUAUUUUGAACUGCAUGGUUCAAAAUUGAAAGGCGGCUUCGGCUGUCACUUAUGGAUGGACCCGCGUCGCAUUAGCUAGUUGGUGAGGUAACGGCUCACCAAGGCAACGAUGCGUAGCCGACCUGAGAGGGUGGUCGGCCACACUGGGACUGAGACACGGCCCAGACUCCGACGGGAGGCAGCAGUAGGGAAUCUUCCGCAAUGGACGAAAGUCUGACGGAGCAACGCCGCGUGAGUGAUGAAGGCUUUCGGGUCGUAAAACUCUGUUGUUAGGGAAGAACAAGUGCUAGUUGAAUAAGCUGGCACCUUGACGGUACCUAACCAGAAAGCCACGGCUAACUACGUGCCAGCCGCCGCCGUAA